UACAGAGGUCUCAAGCGUUGUUCGGAUUCAUUGGGCGUAAAGGGUGCGUAGGUGGCGCCAUAAGUCAGGUGUGAAAUCUCGGGGCUCAACCCCGAAACUGCACUUGAUACUGUGGUGCUGGAGUACUGGAGAGGAGAUUGGAAUUUACGGUGUAGCAGUGAAAUGCGUAGAUAUCGUAAGGAAGACCAGUGGCGAAGGCGAAUCUCUGGACAGUUACUGACGCUGAGGCAUGAAAGCGUGGGGGAGCAAAACAGG
rnacentral:rRNA from 1 species